UACUAAUAAAAGGGACCUUUUGAGGCUCCAUAGAGCGUCCACAUCAGCAAAAAAAACUUCUCCCGAAAGAUGACAUGUGGCAUAAAAUAUAGUUUUACAUUUUAAUAUUACUAAUUUUCGAAAAUUAUAAAUAAUAUGUAAACAUACAGCAUAAAAAUGGAAAAACUACAUUAAAGAUAUGUAAGAUUACCAUUUUUCACAUAAAGAAAAAAGACGGUUUAUCUCCAUAAUGUAACAUUACCGUUUUCUAAAAAAGAUACUAAUAAAAUUGACCUUUAAAAGCUCCAUAGAGCGUCCACAUCAGCAAAAAAAACUUUUCCCGAAAGAUGGCACGUGGCAUAAAAU
rnacentral:lncRNA from 1 species